rnacentral:rRNA from 1 species
AUUGAACGCUGGCGGCAUGCUUUACACAUGCAAGUCGAACGGUAACAGGCCGCAAGGUGCUGACGAGUGGCGAACGGGUGAGUAAUGCAUCGGAACGUGCCCAGUCGUGGGGGAUAACGCAGCGAAAGUUGCGCCAAUACCGCAUACGAUCUAUGGAUGAAAGCGGGGGACCGUAAGGCCUCGCGCGAUUGGAGCGGCCGAUGUCAGAUGAGGUAGUUGGUGGGGUAAAGGCUCACCAAGCCGACGAUCUGUAGCUGGUCUGAGAGGACGACCAGCCACACUGGGACUGAGACACGGCCCAGACUCCUACGGGAGGCAGCAGUGGGGAAUUUUGGACAAUGGGCGCAAGCCUGAUCCAGCAAUGCCGCGUGCAGGAAGAAGGCCUUCGGGUUGUAAACUGCUUUUGUACGGAACGAAACGGUCCUGGUUAAUACCCGGGGCUAAUGACGGUACCGUAAGAAUAAGCACCGGCUAACUACGUGCCAGCCGCCGCUGUAAUAC